rnacentral:rRNA from 1 species
UACAGAGGUCUCAAGCGUUGUUCGGAUUCAUUGGGCGUAAAGGGUGCGUAGGCGGCGCGGUAAGUCGGGUGUGAAAUCUCGGAGCUUAACUCCGAAACUGCAUUCGAUACUGCCGUGCUUGAGGACUGGAGAGGAGACUGGAAUUUACGGUGUAGCGGUGAAAUGCGUAGAUAUCGUAAGGAAGACCAGUGGCGAAGGCGGGUCUCUGGAUAGUUCCUGACGCUGAGGCACGAAGGUCAGGGGAGCAAACGGG